rnacentral:lncRNA from 1 species
UUUUUUUUUUUUUUUUUUUUUCUGUAUUCAAGAGAGUACAAAUCACCAAGUGAUUCAUUGUUUCUCGUAAUUUGGAGUGCUACUAUUACAAGAAAGUGAUCGUUAUAUCCUAGGAGACAAUCACCUGUAUCGUAAGCACCUAAGCUGGGUGAAAUUUGUUUGAAAGACAUAAAGUCAAACCCUAACCUCGAUCAACCCCAUAAGACCAUCUAGUCAAUGGUUGAGGACAACAAACUUAAGACAAAUUUUCUUUUAUAGCUAAUUUUAUCACAAUUGAUUUCUAGUGAAGAUGUACUAUGUUUGAGACAAAUUUGAGGAUUGUACUAUACUUUUAUUUAUUUUAUACAGUAACUUAAUAAUUGAUAACUUCUUGAAAUAAGAUACUUGUUUGAGUCAUUUGCAUUUUGAGUCUCAAUCACUUGUAUUGUAAGCACCUAAGCGAGGUGAAAUUUGUCUUAUAAACACAAUGAUCAAUCUCUAACCUCGAUCAACCCCAGAAGACCAUCUAGUCAAUAGUUGGGGACAACAAGCUUAAGACAAAUUUUCUUUUGCAACUAAUUUUAUUACAAUUGAUUUUUAGUGAAGAUGUACUAUGUUUCAAACAAUUUUGAGGAUUGUACCAUGUUUUUAUUUAAAUUUAGUAAUUGAUAGCCUCUUGAUAUUAGAUACUAGUUUGAGUCAUUUGUUGAGUCUCUAAGUUUGAAGUGUAAAAUAAUCAUCAUGACCUUAAAGUGGAUCUUGGGAUGUGAUACAUACAACUAAAUGGAGCAUUGUUAAAGACAAAAAUAAAAUAGAUAUCAUAGUAUUUCUUAAACUAUGAAACUCAUUUAUCUAAUUUGGUCAUGAUAUUGAACCACAUGUAAAUAACACAAUACACAAAUAUUCAUUCAUAAAUAUUCUAGACAGUUCUAAUUACUGUUUGUUUAUCUAUAAAAACAAAAAUCAAAAGAAAGAAAAAUUCAUCCAUUUUUCGAGAAUCUUUUACUAAUUUCGUUGGUUUAUGUAUAGGACAUGGACGAGUUACAAGUGUUCAAUUUUUUAUUUUUAAAAGUUUUUAAAUCAAAUAAAUUUGUAUACCUUUAUAGUUUAAUUUUUUUAAAAUUAUAAAAGUACAAAUUAACAAACAUGAGUAUGGACUUCUAGUUUUGUUCCAAUAAGUAUGACAUUGCUUCAUUUACAUUUUUCAAUUAUCAUUAUCAUUAUUUUAAAAUUAAUUUUAUUUUAAUUCCAUGUUUAAUGCUUUUGUUUCCAUUUACCCUUACUCUUUUCUAGAAUGACAAUAGGGUGAGUUUUUUCGGCUACCUCGUGCCACCCUUAAUAAAUUGGAUUUGGGAUGAAGAGAAUCGGGUUGAUGGUUGGUUUAAGAAUUUUUUUUUAAAACAAAGUAUUUUUAAUCAUUCAUAAAUUUCAAAAUACUCGUGUACUCAACAUUGAGAAUUAGGUUUAGAAAACUAAUCCUCCUCAAUUGGCAUACGUUUAGAAGAGCCCUAGUUGUAACCCUAGAGUCGAUUUGUUUGGUUGUAUUCUUAUUAGUUGUCUGUUUACUUCUCUCUAACAAGGCCUUCAUGGUAUACUUUUGAACUCUUAUGACUGAAUUAAUAUUCACCAAUCAACUGUAUAUUUGUUACAACAAUAAAUAUGGUUGUAAAAUGAUAUAAAAUCAAUGACUAAAAGAUAGAAAACUAUUUGCUAGAAGUAAAUUUUAUGGGUUAGCGUCCUUAAAUAUGACUUGGGUGUGUUAUAAAUAUAAGUUUAUGUCAAAAAAAAUUAUUAUGAAACACUCAAACAUGCUGUGUUGAGGUGUGGUGAGAGCUACGAGGUGGAGAAACAAUUCAAGGUGAUGUUCGAUCAAAUCUAGUAUGCAACUUAUAAUAACUAAUUACUAGGAGAAAAAUCCUAAAAACAAAUCUAAGUGACUAAAUGGUCGUAGAAAUCAACAAGCUAAGACAAACUUUGAGGAGAGACCAUAUGACACAUAGUCAACCCGAGCCAGGGAAACGCCAAGGGUGUUGAGUCCAGGUAUCUGUGCCGUGACCAUGGACCCAAGUUGGUUUGAUGUAUUUCCCGGAAGACGAAGCCCUUAAAAGGAGAAAUCAUUUGGGAUCGCAAGCUUUGGAUCUUGGCAGAAUUUCCCAUUCACAGACACUGCAAAGCAACAAAUAUAUUAGGACUAACGCAGCCUUGGAAAGAUCAAUGUAUAGAUUAGAGAAUGAAUCUCAAAUGGAGAAGAAGAGUAGAGAGAGGACAUGAUUAUUAUACCAGUGGCGUUUGUAUCGUUAACAGCUACACAGAAGUGCUGAAGAGGACUGGGAUCGGAGGCAGAGGCAAGAUUAAAUGCCAUAGCCAAGAGUGCAAUGUAUGCAAGGGUAUUAACUACCAUCUUCUUCGUAUCUAUGCAAAGAAGUGUAACGUUGGUAGAGCUAUUUAUAGUGGAGUCAUCUCUGAACUUUGAAGCAGUGUUAUAUUAUAAACUUUUAUUGUAUUCCACCACUCUCCAAAAUCUCUUAUUUAUAGUUACUCACACUUGACAAAAUAGAAACUCCUAAUAAUAACAUAUGAAACUUUCCAUGAUUCAACAAGUCAAAAAUAGAAACUAAAAUAACUAAUCAAAAAUAAAAUAUUCUCUCAAUUUUUAGAAACUAAAUCUGAUUCCAUUAUUUAGAAAGUUUCUAAAUCCAGUUUAACUUUUCAACAAUACUAACUAUUCUAAUCCAAAUGAAAAACACAUUAUGUAAAUUACCAAGUCCUCAAAGUUUGUCUUAGCUUGUUGAUUUCUACGACCAUUUAAACAUUGUACGUAUACAGCAAGUAACAAUUUGUCUUAGUAUUAAAAAUUCCCUCUUGUGGUCCACCAAAGAUUUUCUUUCAAAUGUCUGCAGCUGCAUGUUCAAAACCAUGUCCGUUGGUGUCAGUUUAUCUCCUCAAUCUGACCGGAGAACAAUGAAUUAGAUUUCAUAGUACAAAUUUCCGAUCAAAUCCCAAGCGAUUGGUAGCUUAUGAUCUCCUAUUAGAACCAAACUUUUGUAUCAGAAACUGUAAAUUAUUUUGUCUUGACUCAUUUUCCUUGACUAAUCUCAGGGACUGAGAAAGCAAAAGGCGACUGUCCGUUGGCGUCAGUUUAUCUCCUCAAUCCAUGCUCUUAGAACAAAGAACGUUGCCUCAACAACUCCCGGCGGUUCCUAUGAGAUGCUGCUUCAGUUUAUCUUCUCAAACUGAUCAACUGAAGGCAACUCUCUUUCUAUAAAUUUGCCUCCUCAUAUGACCACUAUGAAGCAAGCUCAGCCAAGCAUUGGAUAACAAGCACGUUGUUUCUUCAACGUCUCAAUCUUCUCUUCACAGCUUGCUAUUCAAUGGGGAGGGCUUCCCUGUUUUUUUUUUCUACAGUCAUUGUAUUUAUUUAUUUGUUUUCUUGUAGUAUAUUUCAUGGAAGCAGCUUUAUUGGGUUAAUUUCGUCCAUCUCUGCAGGGAAAUCCGUAAUGGAAAGAUCACAGCGAGCGAGUGGGUCGGAGGCACGGCCAUGGACCGAAGAAGAAGACCAGAAGCUCAUUAGAAGUAUAAACGAAUGGAAAACCGAAUGUAAGACCAAAAAUCGCUCUCUAUCUUGGCUAGAAAUCGCAUGGGAGACAGCGCUGGCGAGGAGUAGUUCGAGUUGUAGGAAGAGAUGGGAAUAUUUGGAGAAUAAGCAUUGAGUUUGCUGCAUGGUCAUGAACGCAUCUUAUGAUAAACCUAGGCUUCGUAUUAUGUUGAAGGGUUAGACCCAUUAAUUUCUGCAUAAUGUAAUGGUUGGCUUAUUGUACUCACCGAUGAAAUUAUUCAUCUUAUAAUAAACGUGUGUUUUCUAUUAUGUUGAAGGGUUAGACCCAUGAUUUGUGACCAUCCAUUUGAAGGAAAUAUAAUAAAUAAAACCUCAACUGUGAAAGACAUAAAAAGUAAUUUCGCAUACAAUAAUAAAUAAUAAUAAUAAUAAAUUAAGUGUAAAAUCCACCAUUCUUACAUUAUUAUUUUUUAAUUUUAUUUAUAGUUUUAAUUAUAUUAUGAAAGAGUUUAUAGCUCAAAAAAGAAAAAGAAAAAAGGGAAAACGAGAUAAUGAGUAUUGAGCACUAUUCUUAUAACCACCUUCAAGAUAAAAAUCCAAAGCCAUCAGGGCCUUUCAUUAUUAUAAACAACAAAAAAUAAAGUCUCAAUAGCUUAAAUAUAUCAUUUUUAAUAUUGAUUUUUGAAAUAUUUUGAUCAAUCAAUUCAAAUAAAUUUAUAAAAUUUCAUGUAUCAUUUGUUUAACAUGACUUUAAGUCUAUUGGUUCAGAAUGUAAACAAAAAAUAUUUUUAAUCAUUUAUGAUUUUCAAUUGGAAGCCAAGAAAAUAUUAGUGCUGUAAAAGCUUUAUUUUGAUUUGUGUAUGUAAGUUUUUUUUUAUAUUAAAUAAAACUUUUAUAAUAUCAAUAAUCUCAAUCUCAAGAGCUUUUAGUUUCUUCAUCCCACUUAGUAGGAGUCCUUUCUGUUAGGUCUGGUUUUUUAAAAUAUUGAUUUUUAAUUCAAUCGAUUCAAGCUCGGGACUUUCCACAAUCCAACUUAAGGUAUAGAAUAAAGAAAACAAUGGUUUUUUUAAGUAAAGUGAUCCUAGGGUUUUGGGAUCCUUUGCCUGUUGCGAUCAAUUUGAGUUCUAUAACUUAAAAUUGUAUUUGAAACCUAAUUUUUCAUUUUUAAAACUAAUUCCUAAAACCAUCAAAUAAAUGAGAUUGAUUACUCGUUUAAGAUUUGGCUAUUUAACCAUUUUUAUUCUUUAUAACUUUGUUUUGAGGGAAAUAAUGAUAGGGAAGACCAGAAUAACUAAUGAUCAAGAAUUACCAAGAAUCACUAGUAUCGGAUAAUAACCUAUUGUAUCAUUCCCUAAACUAACUCACAAGGAUAGAAUAAAAAAAUUUGGUAUUUUUUUUCUCUUUUAUUAAUUUUAUAUAUAUAAAAAAUUGUAAUCUAAGAUUUGUGUUGAAUUUCAAGCAUGAUUCUUGGCUAACUAUAGUAGUUAUUUCAAUUUAGGCAUGGUAGCCAAGUACAUAAUAUAUAGCAAAAGAGUAAGAUAGUGUUUUAUAAAUCCAACUUAUUGACUUAUUGACUUCAUCUAGAGGUUAUUAAGCACAUUAAAUGAAUUUUGUGAAGUAUAUACUAUUAUAACUUAAAAUUAAAAAUGAUUUUGGUGAAUCAAUUUAAUGAUUUAAUAACUUAAACAUAAUUUAGUUUAAAGUUACUUUAAGUCAUUAAGCAACGAACUUAAAUUCUAUUACAUGCCCUCCUAAGUAUCAAGCCAAAUAAUUUAAUAGCGUGCAUAUUUUUCAAGUAAUUUCAUUAAUUUUAUUUCUACAAAGAAUAGUAAUUUGUAUUGACAUAAAUUAAGCAAGGUAUAAAGAGGGAAUCACAAACUUUAUAUGUACUUAUUUUAUGUAAAAACAUUAUGACAUAUUUACUAAACAUUUUAGGAAAGAGAAUAAAACAAAACAUAAUCAAAAUGAUAAGAAAACGAAAUAUAGGAAAUCAAAUUUAGAAUCAAGAUUUCUAUUAAAGUACUUACAAAAUUAUUAAAAAAACAAAAUAAGACUGAAAUUGAUUCCUUUGAUAUGUUUACUAAUGGUGAAGAAAUAGAAUGAAAUAUGUGUGUUUAUCAUAAUUGGCUUAAUAGCAAUGUUACUUUUUUUUUUUUUUUAAAUAAACUUGAUACAUUUUCAAAAAUCAUACUUUUCAAACUUACACAAUUAAAAUGAAAUUUGGAUUAAAAAAUAUUUAUUUUUAUUGAUUAAAAAAAUUAUUUUGAAGAUGAUAUUUUUUAUCUUGUUUAUAACAUCUGAAUUUAACUGAGGAUUAUUAAUAUUUAUAUAAAUAAGAUAAAACGAAUAAAAAGCAUUGGUAGCUCGUUAGUAUACCUAUCCUAUAUUGGGGCCUCACUAUUUGAUAUUAUUCAAUAUAUAAAUAAAUGUCUUUAAUUUAUAAAGAAAUAUCUAAUUUAAAAUUUUAUAUAAGAUUUCUUGAUUUACAAAAAAUAUUAUGCUAAAGAAAUUAAAGUAUUUAUUUGGUACAUAAUUGAUAGUAUUCAAGAUAUGAAAACCUUUAAUUCAAAAUAUUAAUAAUUGAAUGUAUCAUUAUGUUAAUUAAAAUAAUUAUAAUAACUCUCUGAUGAGGGCCCAAAACUCAUGCCAAUUUGCUAUUAAUAAAAAAGUUGUGAUAUUAAUAGGAAAAAUAAACUUGCUGCCAGUUAAGAGGGAUUUCCAAAAGUGAUAUCUUAGUGAAGGAUUGGAUAUAUAUAUAUAUAUAUAUAUAUAUAUAUAUAUAUAUAUAUAUAUAUAUAUAUAUAUAUAUAUUUUGCUUUUAUAAUUAGAAACUUUUAUAUAAAAUAUUUAUAUUUAUUUUAUGUCUUUAAAAAUUUUAAUGAGAUGAUAAUUUUUUUUUUUUUUUUUGGAUAACUCAAUUUUUUUAAAGAGCUUUGGAAACCAUUAUUUUUUUUUUAAUAUAAAUCCCUAAAAAAAAUUGCAUCUUAAUAUAAAAGCAUCCAUCAUUUUCUGAUUUUAAAAACAAAAAUAAUAAAUAUAUCCAAAUGAAUACUUGAUUAUUAAAUUUACAUUAAUUAUAUAUAGAAACUUUUACAUUUUGAAAGUAAUUUUAGGAAGCUUAGAAACAUUAUUAAAGUUAUAAAAAAAAAAAAAAAAACAAAUCACUUGAUUAUAAAAUGAUAAAUUUACUUUCUCAAACUAGAAAUUAAAAAUCAAAGAUAUUUCAAAACCAUUUCUAAAUUUCUUUUCCUAAAAUAUAAGACAAAAGUACUUUGUAUGUGAGUACACCUAAAAUCCGAGGCCAAGGGCAUCAUUGUCAUUUCGUACAUUAAGUUAUAAAACUCAACUCAUGAAUGACACCAAAAUGAAACAAAUUAUAGCUAAUCUUUCAAUUGGCUGCUUUGAACACAUUCAAAGCAUACUAAAAACAACUUUCUGAUUAAGAAUAACUCUCCAAAGAUGUUCCCAUUGAACUAAUCAAAGUGAAUUAAAUAUUCAAUAGACUUAUGAUAGGUUGUUCAACCUAUACUUAACCAGCCCACUCAUUACUGAUGGCAAAAAUAUGAGAAUUCCUCACAUUUUUCGUACCCUUGCUAAUUUUUAAGUUUUUUUGGAUUUUGAUUUUUUUGGGCAUCCACUGAACACUCCCUAAUUAUAAUGAGAUUAUUUAAAUAAUAUCCAAGUCAUAUGAGAUCCCAAAAAAAAAAUUAAAACUUCAAAGUGGAGAAAUGGCAGGGUACGAAGAAUGUGAGGAUUCUUUGUAUUCUUCGUACCCUUACUAAUUUUUAAGUAUUUUUGGAUUUUGAUUUUUUUGGGCAUCCACUGAAUACCCCAUAAUUGUAAUGAGAUUAUUUAAAUAAUAUCCAAGUCAUAUGAGAUCCCCCCCAAAAAAAUUAAACGUCAAAGAAGUGGAGAAUUGGAAGGGUACGGAGAAUGUGAGGAUCCUCACAUUCUCCUUACCCUUGCAAAUUUUUUAGUAUUUUUGGAUUUUUGAUUUUUCUAGGCAUCAAUUGAACACCCCCUAAAGUGCAAUGAACCUAUCUAAAAAAUAUCCCAAUCAUAUGAGAUCCCCAAAAAAUUUAUUAAACUUCAAAGAAGUGGAGAAUUGGGAGGGCCCGAAGAAUGUGAGGAUUCGUCACAUUCUGCAUACCUUUGCUAAUUUGUAAGUAUUUUUGGAUUUUAAUUUUUCUGGGCAUCCACUAAACACUCUCUAAUUAUAAUGAGAUUAUUUAAAUAAUAUCCAAGUCAUAUGAGAUCCAAAAAAAAAAAAAAAAUUAAACUUUAAAGAAGUGGAGAAUUAGGAGGGUACGAGGAAUGUGAGGAUUCCCCACAUUCUUCGUACCUUCACUAAUUUUUAAGUAUUUUUGGAUUUUGAUUUUUCUGGGCAUCCAUUCAAUAUCCCCUAAUUAUAAUGAGAUUAUUUAAACAAUAUCCAAGCCAUAUGAGAUCCAAUUUUUUUUUUUAAAAAAAAAAACUUUAAAUAAAUGGAGAAUUGGAAGGGAACGAGGAAUGUAAGUAUUUCUCACAUUCUUCGUGCCCUUGAGAAUAUUUUUGUAGAAGAAAGAGAUGAAAAACAUUCCUUAUGUUUCUACAAUUGGGAGCUUAAUGUAUGCUUAGGUUUGUACAAGGCCUGAAAUUUCUUAUGCAAUUGGAAUGUUAGUAGAUAUCAAAGUAAUCCAGGUCUGGAUCACUAGAAAGCUGCAAAGAAAGUCAUGCGAUACCUUAAGGGGACUAGGGAUUACAAGCUUACAUACAUGCGAUUUGAUCAUUUGGAUGUAGUUGGAUAUUCAGAUUCUGACUUUGUUGGUUGUCUUGAUUCUAGAAAGUUGACAUCUGGAUAUGUCUUCUUAUUAGCUAGAAGGGCCAUUUCAUGGAGAAGUGCAAAGCAAACAUUGGUUGCUACUUCGACCAUAAAAGCAUAAUUUGUUUCAUGUUUUGAAGCAAUAUCACAGGCUAUUUGGUUCAGGAUUUUUAUUUCAGGGCUUUAGGUUGUUGACUCAAUUUCUAAGCCAUUGAGGAUUCAUUGUGAUAACUCUAUUGGAGUGUUUUUAGUUAAAAAUAAUAAGAGUGAAAGUCAUAGUAAACACAUUAACAUAAAGUACUUAGCUAUUAGGGAACAUGUUAAGUCAAACAAGGUGGCUAUUGAGCAUAUUAGUACUGGAUUGAUGAUUGCGAAUCCUUUGAUGAAAGGAUUUCCACCUAAGGCUAAUAGGGAACAUGUUGAGCAUAUGGGACUCAAUUUUGUUUUGUAAAUUUAAGGUAAUUGAGACACCCUUUGUGUUUUAUCACAUUUUUGGUCGAUAUGAAAACUCCAAUUAUUUCAAUUCUGUCUUCUCAUUUGGUUGUAUACAUAAAGUUUAGAGCACAACAAUAUGCAUGUUAUGAAUGUUAAGUAGACCCAGAAUGAGAAUUUUGGAAACUCAUUCAUAAAGGAAUGACUCACAUAUUGCUCUUAUUCAAAAGAGAAAGUUACAUUGUAAUACAUGAAAAGUAAUACUCGUUUUUAGAGGACUUACUGCCAUGAUUCAUGUGCUUUAAAGUCUUUUGAUUAAGUAUAAGGAUUUAGGGAAAAAUAUGUUAUGUAUUAAUUUAAUUAAUACAUAUUAAGUAAUUUUUAUAGGCCAAGUAGGAGAAAUGUUGGAAACAAAUUUACAUUUUAAUAAAAUUAAAUAAAAUAAUUUUUUUAAAAAAAUUGUGGCUCAUUUAAAUAUUAUUUUCCCUAAAAUAAAUUAAAUGUGAGGUCAUAUCUCUUAUGAAGUAACCACCCAUGUCUGCAAACAUGAGACAUAUUACUAGGUGUGAAAACUACCUUAAGUCUUCUUUGAUGAGAAAAAGAGAAAAAAAAAAAAAAGAUAUGCAAUAUUAAUUCCUGAAGUGGGAUAAAAGGUCUUUGGUUUGCAAGAAUAAGUCUGUGAGUUCCAACGAUGCAUGGACAUAAGGUCUUGUAAGGACUAACCAACUAAUCUCUAUUUUGUGUGAAUCUGAUUGCCAUGGUUGGAGGUACAAUCUUGGAUUUUCAUUUUAUUACUUGUAACUUUAGAAAUUUUUAACUAACAAGAAAUUCAGCAAGCAAAUUGAUGAAUAAAAAGGGGAAAAAAAAAAAACUAGUCUUUUAUCUCCAUUUUUUAAAGAAGAUUUUACAUUGUUUAGUCGUCUUGUUUUUCUAGGUAAGACAAGGGAAUGACAACUCAGACCCGAAAAUCAUGAAACAAAGGAGCUUGGCAAAUCAAAACAUCUUCCACCCAACAAAGUGAGGAAAUACUUACAGAAUUGAAGUGUCAUGCAUAGAUGGUAAUAUCGCUUUACUACUAUUUCUGCACCAACUACAAAGAAGGAUUUUGUGGAACCCCAGAAGAUCAAGUUGAAUUCUUCUUCUUGGGUCUCCCAUUAAAGCCUAUAACACAUUUGAGAAGUUUAAAAUUAUAGAUUUGGUAUGAUACAAAAUGCAAUUUUCAAGAACUUCAAUAGGGAAAUAAAAAAGUUUACAAGUUCCAAGAAAAAAAAGGCAAAUCUAAAAAAACCUCAACUUUAAAUUACCAUAUCUUAAAAUAAAGCAUUCAUACUUCAUACUUGAUAAAAUUGUCACAUGCACAAAAAGUUUGCUGCACCCACUUGAUCAAAAGAGGUUGUUUUCUACUCAGUGCAAUCCUCCAAAUCAUCUAACUUCCUUAUAAUAAUGGUAAUAUAUGCUUAAACAUCUAAAUCCUUUGGUAAUACAUACACUCUACUAGCUUUUACCCUGUUCAUUGUUCUAUCUCUAGGUGGUUCCUUGACAAUUGGUUCUUCCCAACUUCUAGAUACCUCAGCAACAUAAUCAAGGAAUUGAAAUGCUUCAUCGGGGUUUUUAUUCAUGAAAUCUCCUUCACACAUAGUCUCAAGAAGUUGUUUCAUUAAUGGUGACAUCCCUUCAUAGAAAUACGAUACUAGUAUCUAGUUGUCAAAUCCGUGAUGAGGGCAUCUUGCAACCAUCUCCUUGAAUAUUUCUUAGCAAGCAAAAAAAUUCUCAUCCUUCAUAGCCUUGAAAUUUGAGAUCUCCUUUUUCAAUGCAUUAAUCCUAUGUGCUGGAAAGAAUUUUUGUAGAAUCAUUAAUUAUAGAUCACCCCAAUUUCCGAUGAUAUACGAUUUAAGACUAUUUAACUAAGUCUUAGCGUUAUCCUUCAUUAACAAGGAGAAUAGCUUCAUGCGAUAGAUAUCCAAAGAAGUGUUGGCUUCUCAAAAAAUUGAAACGAUGUCCUCAAAUUCCUUGAUGUGAGAGUAUGGGUUUUCAUUUUCUGUCCCCCUAAUAUUGGGUAAUUGAGAUACCACGUGAGGCCAAAUGGUAACAUGAUCAUCAUUUGGAGGUAGCAUAAAACACGAUGGUGUGCUCAACUUGGGAGGAUUUAGAAACUCUCUCAUAGUUUUUUGGUCCUACAUAGGUGGUCGAGGCCUGUUGUUGUUGUUGUUGGACUCUUCAAUGUCCUCCAUAUUUAGUUGAGAUUUCUCAGUUGUUCUUUGAAGUCUACCUGAAAGAUUUCUUUCCCAACCUAGCAUAAAAUAAAGGAAAAAUAUAUAUAAGAAAAAAACAAAAUUAAAAGAACUAAACAAAGUAAUGCACUAUAUCCUAGUUAUGACGAUUGCCAAUCCCCGACAAUGGCACCAAUUUCUUAACUGAACUUCUCUAUUGUACCAAAAUACUUAGCCUUUUUCCAUGGCAACUCUAGUAAAGAAAAACUAAAGAAAGAGUCACUACGACUUUUGUAGUACUUCGGGUAUCUUCCUUAGGGAUUAUGGAAAUUGUCAAUACUAAAAUAAAUUAAUUGUUUUUGUUUAAAUCUUAAAAUGAAAAAUAAUAUGUGAAUGAAGUGAAACUAAGUAAAAGAACUAAAUUAAUAAUAAUAAUAAUAAUAAAAAAAAGAAAUAAUCUAGCUGGGUUUCACGCUUCAGAAGUUCUAGGUGGACUAACCCUCUUUAAGGACACAUUUUAGCACUAAUUAGAAUAUUCUUACAAUAGUCCAACGACAAGCAAUGUGGAACAACCACUUGGUGUUGUUUUUUAACCUCUUUAAAUAAUACCCGGAAGUUAUAACUUUUUCCAUUUGUUGAUGUAGGUAUACCCUGGCUCAGGAGCAUGGUGAUCUUAUCAAUCUCCAUGAUUGGUACUAGUCUUUCAAAUCAACUGUCUUUCAGCCAAGUACUAAAGGGAAACACAAGUUGAAGCAGUCCCCAGCUAAGAAAAGAAAGGACACAAAUGAAUCUCAAAACCAGAGUGAAGCAUCGAUUCAGUAUCCUAUUCCUUUUCCAUUUUGCAUAGAAUUUUUCACUUUCAUUGGAUUAGUAACUGUGAUGCAGACUUCUUAAACAUACAAUGGAUUCAAACAUUAAAUCACAAAUUCACACUGCAUAACUUGUUGGGAAGGCUAGAUUAGGUGCUUUUAAACCUUUUGUUAUAGAUAUCAAUUUAAGAUCCUAGAGUUUCGCUUUUGAGUUUUACUGUCAGUGUCAUUUCAUUAGAUUAUAUGAAUAGAAAUUAUCAAGACAAUGAAAAUCAUGGAAAACAUUUACUGUAUUUUGGCCAUUUAUGUCAUAAUUCGAACUUACAAGACUCUCCAAACUUGAGACAAGAACCAUAUAAAACAGUUACUAGAUUCUAAUGAUUUGCAAACUUGAGCUGGAAACAAACACUGCAUGAAGUUAAUAUCCUAAUUACAUUCAUUCAAACUAUAUUCAAUAUCUGUUAUGGAGCUCAUAAUUUGUUGUCCCAUGUUUUCCUGCCUUAUUUCUUACUCUAUAAUGGUUUAUCUCAUAUUCCAAACUCAUGAUAUCAUCUUCUUUCCUUUCCUCAUGGUCCAUGAGUCUUGACUCACUUAUUUCCUCAUUUAACCCUUUCUUGAUCUUUAAAAAUUUUAAAUGAUUCAAAUUGCACCAUUUUCUUCCCUUUAACCUGAGAUAAAUCUCCAAAAUACAAGUUAAACUCAUGACUAGGGCCUCAAAUUCAAUUUAGGUCAAGUUAGGUUAUUUGAGUGUCUUUUGGUGCACAAAUCAUAUCAAAUAUGUGCCAUUAGAGCACAUAUUUUGGCUCCAAUCGUUCCCUAUCAACUUAAACUUUGCUAGUCCCUAGAAAAUGAAAAGAGUACAAAAAGAAUGAAAAAUAUGUAAUGAGAUUCAUGAAACCAUAGUGACUCGACAUAACAUGUUUCACACACAAGAUACCUAAGUAGUCAAAUUUCCUAGAAUUGAGCAAGAUGACACAAGAUAUGCAAUUUCUUAGUUUUCUCACUUUAUCUUUGUAUAAAUAAAUGCACAUCCAUGUUUAGCAUUCCCCUUAGUGUCUCUUGAUUUUCUCUUGAUUGGUUUUUUCCACCUAAACCUCAUGUGCUUAAUUUUUGUGUCCCUUCGUAGUAUUCUUCUUAAGACUUUUUCUUAAACUCAAAUUUCAUCAUUCUUUAAGUUAAAGAGGGAAGAAAAUUUAUUUUGAAUUUUCUUUCCUAGUUUAGGAAAUCUCUUUUUAUAUGGUUCAAUAGGGAUCUACCAUAAACGCUCAAGUUUUCACCCAAGGUACCAGGUAUUGAGAAGCUUUAUAAGCCACUUACCCCUCAAGUUCUCACCCUAGCUCAAUAUAGAACAAGAUCGAAUUUCCCAAACAUUUAUUUAUUUAUUUAUUUAUUUAUUCUAAAAUGAGUUUAGCUUGUGUUGUGUAACGAGCAAGAUACCGAUAACUCCUAACUAGUUGGUUUAGAGCACCAAGGCUUGAAGACAUAAGGCCAUUACCCCCUCGGAUAAUAUAUAUAUAUAUAUAUCUCAAGGUCUCAAACCUUUAAGCAGGUUACUAUGGCUAAUCCCUCUCAAAAGGAAUUAACAACAAGUUCUUCUUUUUCAAGUAAACAAAUUGUGGUGGCUGCCAACCCCACACCUCUUUCAGCAAAAUCAAGAUAUUGGCAAAAGGAUUUAAACCAACCUCUUUUGGUUAUUGAGAGAGAUUUUUUCUCUGAAAACCCCAGAGAGAUUGUAGCAAAAGCUUUUCAUAAAAAUUUUCACUAUCCCUCUAGUGAUCUUUUAAAAACAAGAAAAUUUUAUGAAGUAGUUCUCGUUGAGACUGGUUCUGUUAAGAUCAAGCAUAAUGCUGAUAAAUUCAACAAUUUAUAUAUAUAUAUAUAUAUAUUAUUUCAUCAUCUUGUUGCUUAAGAACAACUCCUUUUAAGCUAAAAAAAAUUAUCUUAAUCAAUAUACCAUAAGGGUAUUCGUGCGUUGUGUGUACUUUGAGUCAUAAAUAGAAAAUAACCAUCAAAGAAAAAUUGGAGGUAUCCCAAUGAUUCAACCUAACUAUUUUUACACUUGAAGGUAUAUGAAGAAAAGGUAAGCAAAUUAAUACUCUUGCUUUAAUUGUAUCUAUUCUCAAAUUCUAAAGAAAUAAUGCUACUUAAAGCAUUCUCAUGCAAAAUAAACCAUGAGUCACUAAGGCAAAUCAAGAAUCACAUUAACUAACCAAAGAUAGCAUGCAAACUUUUGAAAAAAAAAAGGGCUAAUAUACCUUCCUCCCUCAACCUAAAUUACACAAUGUCCCCAAUGUGUAGAACAAGUGAAAAGAAUAGGGUAAGUGUUACCUCACGAUCAUAGAAUCAGAAUGGCAGGUUAGAAAACCAAAUCCUGUAUCAGCCAAUCAUCUAGGAAACAAUAUCAUAAAACUACCAAGAAAUAAAAAUUAUCAAAAUAUUCUAAAUAAGAAAAAAAAAAAGACAAGAAAACAAAGCAUAACAAUUCAAAUCCUAAAAGUCUUAAGGGAGAAAUAAACUAGAAAUACCUAAACAUGAAUAAAUGAAAAAGAAAUAAAAACAAAAACAAUAACCAAAAAAACAACCUAAACCUAAUUUUACCUACUGGAUAAAGGAAAAUGCAUCAUCCAUUUGGAAUCUCUCCAUCAACAAGAUAGUAAGUUUCCUUCUAUGGCCUCACUUGCUCUCUAAGGAACUUGAGGCAAUGGUCUUUCACCUUAAACUUAUGACCAAUUUUGGGAUUGAGUAGGGUGAUGGAGCCAAAAAUAGGAACUUGUCUCUUAUUUGGCUUGAACUUUCUCCUCUUGUUCCUUUUACCAUGAUGAAAUUUCAAUUUAUCUCUUGCUUUCAUCCAUUUUUCAUAUAGUUCUUCAUCCAAAACACCUAAAUUAAUUUUUCCAUUCAUUCCAUUUUUUUUUUACAUUCCUUAAGAAUUUUCAACAACUUUCUUCUUUGCACUUCUUCAAUUGAUGAAAUUGAAUCAAACAUUGGUUCAAUAUCUUGAAAUAUCUAGUUUGUGGGCUUUGAAUGAGAGUUUCAAUUUGAUUUGAUUAGUGUAAAAUUGCUCAUUAUUUAUUACAAUUAAAUUAUGCAAACUCAUGGCAUUGCAUGCACAAUAGCACUCAAUAUAUCAUGUUUUCUCAAUAUAAAGUGUCUUGAUAAUUUUAUGAGUUUUUCAAGGAAACGUAGCAAAAGGUGGCUUAAAUGGAGCAAUUUGGAAUUGUUAAUAACCUUAGAAGGAAGAUGACUUGAUACCCCACUAAUUCCCUUUCAAAAACCAUAAAAGAAUGCAAAAAAUGUUCAUCCUGGUAGGCUUAAUGGUUAGGCUAUUAGGCUUGCUAGGCUGAGAGCCUAGCAACUAAUUAUAGUUUUAAGCUUUAUUUUAUUUUAUUUUAUACUUUUUAUAGCCCAAGCAGCCUCACAACCCUCCUAAAUAUCUAUUUCUUCAUUUCUCACUCUACAUCUCUUCUCCUUAGUGGAGACUUGAACUUUAAAUCACCAAAUCUCGAUCACUUCUUCCCAUUCUCACCCUUCAUCUCUCAUUCCUCUUUGAGCAAAGCUUUCUAUGACCAUUGUCAAUGCCUCGGGAAAUGAUUCAAAGUUUUCAUCAAAGCCCCAACUACCAUAGCAUGCAUGACACUUGGCAAUCUUAGGAAGUCACCUCAUAUAGUAAGUUGUUCAAGGAAGAAAGAUUCCAUUUGCCUCCAAGUUGACAACUCCUCAACAUCGCUCCACAUUCUAUAAAUGGCUAGCUAUGAAGGUAGUAGAGAAAAGAGAAGCAUUAAGUAGAACAAUUUAAGAGUAGGAGAAUGUGAUAAAUAAAGAAGAAGAACUUUAUUUCCUCUAAGUGUACUUGUAAUCUUACAUCUUUAGUUAUGUUUUCAAUUUCAAUGUUUAAUUUUCAGCACGUGUGCGAUUUCUUUGGUUUAUGGUGAGGGUGAGCUUAGUCACCCAUUCAAUUCAUCAAAUCUUAGGUGAGACAAGUUGGGCAAGGAUCAUCAUAUUCAUUGUUGUCACCAAGUGUUGUUGUUGCUUGAAAAUGUCUUGAGUAGAUGGUAGUUGGCAGAGUGAUGACUAUAGUAUGGAGCCUUCAUAGGACUUGAUCAAUCUUGUCUUAUAUAAAAGAAAGAGAAUAAUUUAAAGUUUUUUCAGAUUUGGUUUUUUUUUUUUUUUUCUAUGUAUAAAGAAUAAAGAAUUGGAAAAUGCAUAAAUUUUUAAAUAAAUUUUAUUGUAUUUGAUUUUUUUAUCAUAUUUUUCAUGAUAAACUAAACAAAAGAUUUUGGAUUUCUUAUUAUUAUUUGUUACUUUCCUCUAGUACUUGUGAUAUAAAUAGAAUAUAAGACUUCUUUUAAAUCUUGUAAAGUUUGAGGGAAAAUUAAAAAAAAAAAAAACAAAAAAUAGAGAGAAUUAGAAGGAAAGAAAAGUAUAACCACGAAAGAAAUAAAUUUAAACUUGAAGUAUUUUUCUUACAUUUAAAUUUUAAUUUUCAUCUUUUUCCUCCUAUACAAAAAAUGAAGGCUAUGUUUGAUUUCUGGAAAAUACUAAAAAGGAAAAAAAAAUACUAAGGAAAAUGAUUUUCUUCUGAUUGGUUUUAUUAUGAAAAAAAAAUCAAAUAUAAUUAAAAUCAGUUAGAAAUUUAUAUAUUUUAAAAUCAUUUAAUCUUUAUAUAAUAAAGGAAAAUAAGUAAAAUGGGUUUAAAAAAGCAUAUAAAAAUGAUUUAUUGACUUUAAAUCUAUUUUUUAUAUUUUUUUUCACGUUUCCUGCUUAUUUUCUUUCCCUUACAUUUUCCCUCAAAUUUUCCAAGAACCAAAUCUAUAUAUAUAAAUUUUCAAUUUCCUUUUUUUUUUCCUUUCCAGCUAUGCUUUUCUUGAUGGGAACCAAAUAAAAUUUACUUUUAUACUUUCUUUCCCUGCCCACCAAAAAGGAGGGUAAAGGGACAGUAUAAUUUUUCACACAAUUUUUUAUUUUAUUGUCUUUCUCAUCAUCCUUUUUGAAAGAAAAUAUUGUCAUAUCACUUCUCAAAAGUAAUUACUUGAGUAAACAUGAGUAAUUACUACUUAAACUUUUUAUUUAUAAAGUUGAGUUAUGAGAAUUGUAGUAUGUUUUUAGUUACUUUCAAUAAAAAUUUGGUAACGGAUAACUUCUUGAUAUAAGAUACUUGUUUGAGUCAUUAGUAUUUUGAACCUCAGGGUUUGAAGUGUAAUUAAAAUAAUCAUCAUACCAUUAGAGUGGAUUCAUAAAUAAUUAAAAUCAAUAAAUAUAAAAAAAAAUGACAUAAUGAAAAAGAUUGAAAUUAAAAAGAUUUUAUGAAACCAACACGUUGAGAAAAAAGGCAAAAAAAAGUGAACAUGUUAUAAAUGAGGGAAAAAAAUCAUAUGACAUGGUUGAUUGUCACAUGUUAAUUUUUUUAUAAAAAAAUAAAAUAAAAUAAAAGGCAACACUUUAUCAAAGUAAAAAAAUAAAAAGAAAGAAAAAAGAAAAAAUUGUGAUAGUUGGUAAGAGGGAAGGAGGAUUAGAGGGUAGUUUUCAAUGCAUAUUUAUUAGUUUAUUUUUUACUUCGAAGGUUAAAAUUCAAACUAAAAAUAAAAAAUAAAAAAUAAAAAUUGGUGCAUAAUUAUAUAAUCUCCCCUUAUGAAAAUCCAUUGAAUGCAUGACUUCAUAGCUAGUAUGCAUUCCUAUUCUCUUUUCUUGUAUUUAUACACAAUUGAUCAAUAUUUAAUUUUCUUUUUAGGAAAAGGAAUAAUUUUGUGAGAAUUUGUGUUAGGGAGUUUAUGAAGAAAAAAAAAAUAGUCGAUUUUUAAAAAAAAAUAUUUUACAUCUAGAUUAUUUUUAAAAAUAUUUAUAGUAAUAAUCUUUUAACUUUAUUUUAUUAUUAUUUUUAUAAUAAAACCACAAUCAGUAAAUAUGGUUUCAAUAUCAGAGCUAAAAUCACAAUCACUAAUUAUGGUUUUGUCAUGAAAAAAAAGAAGAAAAAUGAUAUAGUAAUAUGCUAAUAUGGCAUGAACAUAAUUAGUCCCCGAUGAAUAUUUUAAAAAUAAAUCAAGAAUGAUAUUUUUUUCCGAAAAAGCUUAGUUUGGCAGCUGUGUUAGGACCAAAAUCUUUUUGCCCAUAUUGAGGAAAUUAAAGGGGAAUUCAUGAGACGGAUGAGUAGGAUGUCGGAUGCAAACAGACGAGUAGGAUGUCAGAUGCAAACAGACGAGCAGGAUGUCAGAUGCAAACAGACGAGUAGGAUGUCGGAUACAAACGGAAGAAAAAGAGUGAAAGAAAAUGUGGGAUUGAAAUCGAUGUCUGAUGAUUUUAUAUAGUCUACAUUUUGACUUUUCAACUUUAUCAACCUUGUAUGAUUGAAAAGUGAAAUCAAGUUUGGAAGAUCAAGGUGUCUUUUCAAAUUGUAUAUGUGAUUAAAGUAUGUCCGUUGGUGUCAGUUUAUCUCCUCGAUCUAACCUGAGAACGCAACUCCUAUUAAAAAUUCCCUCGUGUGGUGGUCCACCAAAGACUUUAUUUCUAAAGUUUUGUAGCUUCAUGUCGGUUGACGUGAGUUUAUCUCCUCAAUCUGACCAAGUCCAUGCUCUUAAAACAAAGAAAGUUGCUGCAACUCGUGGCGGACCCACUGUCUCCAAUGAUAAAAUUUCGAACUCAAACUAACAUAAAGGCAUGUGUCCUCAAUGAGAUGGCUUUCGUUUAUCUCCUCAAACGGAUCAUGGGCAACUCUCUUUAUAAAUUUCCCUCCUCAUAUGGCCAUUAUGAAGCAAGCUCAGCCAAGCAUUGGAUAUCAAUCUCAUUGUUUCUUCAAGGGGUAAUCUAAAAAAUCACCUCUCAUUUGUGCUUAUAAAUGAAUAUGUUAAAACUACCUAUUAUCGGUUUCUUUGGGUUUCCAUAUCAUUUAUAUAUACCUAUAAUUGAUUAUUUUUAAGUGUUUCAUUUCAUUUGGAAAGCAUUAGCCAAAAGCCAAAAAAAAAAAAAAAUCGGUUUUUUUUUAUUUGUUUUGUAUUACCAAAUAUAAUAAAAAUUAUUUAAAAUUUCAUAUUUUAUUUUCAAAGUUUCAUUAUGUUUGUGAAAACCAUAUGGUAAGCUAUAUUUAAAAAAAAAAAAAAAAAAAAAAAAAAAAAAAAAAAAAAACUAGUGAAUUUGUACAAGUUUUUUAUUUUCCUUCAAAAAAAAUGUUGUGAGGUAUAUAAAAAGUUUUUGUUGAAUUUGAAUUCGUUUUUUGUUUUACCUUCAAUCUAGUUUCUAUUUUAUUUCUCUCGUAUUAAUUUUGGCCUUAUUUAGAAUAGUUUUCUUUUUCUUUUCUUUUCUUUUUUUUUUUUCAAAAACUUUCUUGAAAACAAAGUGAUAAGUUUCAAAGCAUUAGUUGAUAUUUAAAAUUUUUUCUUGAAUAUGAAAUAACUUCAUGUAUAUAAGUUAAAAAAGAGUUUUAUGAUUGAAGUCAUAAUCUUUUUUAAUAAAAUUAAUUAAAUAAAUAUAAAAACUAUAUUAAGCUUAAAAAGAGCUUUCAAUCUCUAAAAAAUCAAUUACUUAAAAAUCCUUUCUCAAAGCUAAAUAUUGUCUCUUUAACCAACCUCCAAGGGAAAAAGAAGCUAUGACUUUCCAAUUCUACAACCCAAAUAUAGUAAAAUCUUCCAUUCUUUUAAUACUAAUCUCCUUGGCAAACUCUUCAUACAAAUAAGCUUAGGGACUAAGUACCACACAUCAUUCCUAACAAACUAAUUUAAUUCUUCCUGUGAUGCAAUAGUCCAAAAUUCAUAUUCUAAAGCUUCUUCCACAUUUUUUAGCUCUAAUUGAGAGGUAUGGCAAAAAAAAACUUAUCUCGUUUUGUCUAGAUUAAGCCUCCUUGUAACCAUGGAGUCAUCCAUGUUUCCUAUUACAUUUGAGAUAGGGUGAUUUUUAGGUACUCUAGAUAAAGCCUCCUUCUUUCACUUCACUUGACUUAGUAAUGUCAAGUGGUUGUUCAUCUAUGUUGGGGCCAACCACCUUUUCAGGAAUACUUUCAAGGAUUUCCAUACUCUCAUCCACUAUUUUAGGAAUAUAUCUAAUGGAUUCCUAGGUUAAAUCAUAAGAGUUAUCAUCUUUCUUAGAAUCCCCUUGUGUCAUCAAUGUCUGCAUUAUAGGAUUCCUAAAUGAACUUGGUAUUCUAGUUAUAUGCCCUAUAGGCUUUACUCCUAGUGGAAUAGCCUAGAAAAUUUUCUAAAUUGGAAUUAGAAUCAAAUUUGCCUAGGUUUUCCCUAUUCAUGAAAAUGUAACACUCACUGCCAAAAGUUGUAAAAUCCUUAAGAUUAAAUUUUCUCCCUAACCACAAUUCAUAACAUGUUUUAUCUAUUCUAGACCUAGGAAAAACCCUAUUGGCAAUAUAACAAGUUGUGUCUAUUCUAGACCUAGGAAAAACCCUAUUGGCAAUAUAACAAGUUGUGUCAAUAGCUUCAGCCCAAAAAUAUACAAAAAAAUCAUGCAUGUGAAGAUCACUUUGGUCAUUUCUUGAAAAACUCAAUUCUUCAUUUUAAGUACUCCAUCUUGUUGAGGAGUUCUAAGGGUUGAAUAUUUAUGUUUAACUCCUCUAAUUCACAAAAGUGAUCAAUUUCAACACUAUCAAACUCUCUUCCCCUAUCACUCCUAAUCUUAACAAUUGGAUGACCUUUUUCCACCUGAAUUCUAGUACGCAAAGACUUUAAAUGCUCAAUAGUCUAAAAAAUUUCCCUAAAAAAACAUAUGAAAGAAAACCUAGAGAAAUCAUCAACAACAACAAGGACAUAUCUCUUACCACCUUUGCUCUUAGUGCAUAUAGUGUUAGAAUUUAUAUAUAGGUGAAUGAAAAUUAGGACACUUUUUUUCUCUUGGAAGACGUGUUGUUUCAUAAUGGACACAACUUGUUUCAAAGGAUGUCUGUAGUGUUUUAAAAAAACAACCUUUUCCAAAGGAGUAUGUUUGGUGUCUUACGACACAACCCUUUAAUGGAUUUGUCUAGUGUCUUAAAAACACAUCUCUUCUAAUAGUCACCAACAAAAUCUAUAAAUAAGCGCCCCCCUUGUCUUUUCAGAUUCACUUUUUCAUUCAUCCGCUUUCUCCAUUCUUUCUCCUAUCUAGUCUCUUAAACUUUCAAGUCCUUCUUAGCUUCAAGUUUUUUUUUUUUCGGUAUUCAAGAGAGUACAAAUCACCAAGUGAUUCAUUGUUUCUCGUAAUUUGGAGUGCUACUAUUACAAGAAAGUGAUCGUUAUAUCCUAGGAGACAAUCACCUGUAUCGUAAGCACCUAAGCUGGGUGAAAUUUGUUUGAAAGACAUAAAGUCAAACCCUAACCUCGAUCAACCCCAUAAGACCAUCUAGUCAAUGGUUGAGGACAACAAACUUAAGACAAAUUUUCUUUUAUAGCUAAUUUUAUCACAAUUGAUUUCUAGUGAAGAUGUACUAUGUUUGAGACAAAUUUGAGGAUUGUACUAUACUUUUAUUUAUUUUAUACAGUAACUUAAUAAUUGAUAACUUCUUGAAAUAAGAUACUUGUUUGAGUCAUUUGCAUUUUGAGUCUCAAUCACUUGUAUUGUAAGCACCUAAGCGAGGUGAAAUUUGUCUUAUAAACACAAUGAUCAAUCUCUAACCUCGAUCAACCCCAGAAGACCAUCUAGUCAAUAGUUGGGGACAACAAGCUUAAGACAAAUUUUCUUUUGCAACUAAUUUUAUUACAAUUGAUUUUUAGUGAAGAUGUACUAUGUUUCAAACAAUUUUGAGGAUUGUACCAUGUUUUUAUUUAAAUUUAGUAAUUGAUAGCCUCUUGAUAUUAGAUACUAGUUUGAGUCAUUUGUUGAGUCUCUAAGUUUGAAGUGUAAAAUAAUCAUCAUGACCUUAAAGUGGAUCUUGGGAUGUGACACAUACAACUAAAUGGAGCAUUGUUAAAGACAAAAAUAAAAUAGAUAUCAUAGUAUUUCUUAAACUAUGAAACUCAUUUAUCUAAUUUGGUCAUGAUAUUGAACCACAUGCAAAUAACACAAUACACAAAUAUUCAUUCAUAAAUAUUCUAGACAGUUCUAAAUUAGAACUGUUUGUUUAUCUAUAAAAACAAAAAUCAAAAGAAAGAAAAAUUCAUCCAUUUUUCGAGAAUCUUUUACUAAUUUCGAUGGUUUAUGUAUAGGACAUGGACGAGUUACAAGUGUUCAAUUUUUUAUUUUUAAAAGUUUUUAAAUCAAAUAAAUUUGUAUACCUUUAUAGUUUAAUUUUUUUAAAAUUAUAAAAGUACAAAUUAACAAACAUGAGUAUGGACUUCUAGUUUUGUUCCAAUAAGUAUGACAUUGCUUCAUUUACAUUUUUCAAUUAUCAUUAUCAUUAUUUUAAAAUUAAUUUUAUUUUAAUUCCAUGUUUAAUGCUUUUGUUUCCAUUUACCCUUACUCUUUUCUAGAAUGACAAUAGGGUGAGUUUUUUCGGCUACCUCGUCCCACCCUUAAUAAAUUGGAUUUGGGAUGAAGAGAAUCGGGUUGAUGGUUGGUUUAAGAAUUUUUUUUUAAAACAAAGUAUUUUUAAUCAUUCAUAAAUUUCAAAAUACUCGUGUACUCAACAUUGAGAAUUAGGUUUAGAAAACUAAUCCUCCUCAAUUGGCGUACGUUUAGAAGAGCCCUAGUUGUAACCCUAGAGUCGAUUUGUUUGGUUGUAUUCUUAUUAGUUGUCUGUUUACUUCUCUCUAACAAGGCCUUCAUGGUAUACUUUUGAACUCUUAUGACUGAAUUAAUAUUCACCAAUCAACUGUAUAUUUGUUACAACAAUAAAUAUGGUUGUAAAAUGAUAUAAAAUCAAUGACUAAAAGAUAGAAAACUAUUUGCUAGAAGUAAAUUUUAUGGGUUAGCGUCCUUAAAUAUGACUUGGGUGUGUUAUAAAUAUAAGUUUAUAUCAAAAAAAAUUAUUAUGAAACACUCAAACAUGCUGUGUUGAGGUGUGGUGAGAGCUACGAGGUGGAGAAACAAUUCAAGGUGAUGUUCGAUCAAAUCUAGUAUGCAACUUAUAAUAACUAAUUACUAGGAGAAAAAUCCUAAAAACAAAUCUAAGUGACUAAAUGGUCGUAGAAAUCAACAAGCUAAGACAAACUUUGAGGAGAGACCAUAUGACACAUAGUCAACCCGAGCCAGGGAAACGCCAAGGGUGUUGAGUCCAGGUAUCUGUGCCGUGACCAUGGACCCAAGUUGGUUUGAUGUAUUUCCCGGAAGACGAAGCCCUUAAAAGGAGAAAUCAUUUGGGAUCGCAAGCUUUGGAUCUUGGCAGAAUUUCCCAUUCACAGACACUGCAAAGCAACAAAUAUAUUAGGACUAACGCAGCCUUGGAAAGAUCAAUGUAUAGUUUAGAGAAUGAAUCUCAAAUGGAGAAGAAGAGUAGAGAGAGGACAUGAUUAUUAUACCAGUGGCGUUUGUAUCGUUAACAGCUACACAGAAGUGCUGAAGAGGACUGGGAUCGGAGGCAGAGGCAAGAUUAAAUGCCAUAGCCAAGAGUGCAAUGUAUGCAAGGGUAUUAACUACCAUCUUCUUCGUAUCUAUGCAAAGAAGUGUAACGUUGGUAGAGCUAUUUAUAGUGGAGUCAUCUCUGAACUUUGAAGCAGUGUUAUAUUAUAAACUUUUAUUGUAUUCCACCACUCUCCAAAAUCUCUUAUUUAUAGUUACUCACACUUGACAAAAUAGAAACUUCUAAUAAUAACAUAUGAAACUUUCCAUGAUUCAACAAGUCAAAAAUAGAAACUAAAAUAACUAAUCAAAAAUAAAAUAUUCUCUCAAUUUUUAGAAACUAAAUCUGAUUCCAUUAUUUAGAAAGUUUCUAAAUCCAGUUUAACUUUUCAACAAUACUAACUAUUCUAAUCCAAAUGAAAAACAAAUUAUGUAAAUUACCAAGUCCUCAAAGUUUGUCUUAGCUUGUUGAUUUCUACGACCAUUUAAACAUUGUACGUAUACAGCAAGUAACAAUUUGUCUUAGUAUUAAAAAUUCCCUCUUGUGUUCCACCAAAGAUUUUCUUUCAAAUGUCUGCAGCUGCAUGUUCAAAACCAUGUCCGUUGGUGUCAGUUUAUCUCCUCAAUCUGACCGGAGAACAAUGAAUUAGAUUUCAUAGUACAAAUUUCCGAUCAAAUCCCAAGCGAUUGGUAGCUUAUGAUCUCCUAUUAGAACCAAACUUUUGUAUCAGAAACUGUAAAUUAUUUUGUCUUGACUCAUUUUCCUUGACUAAUCUCAGGGACUGAGAAAGCAAAAGGCGACUGUCCGUUGGCGCCAGUUUAUCUCCUCAAUCCAUGCUCUUAGAACAAAGAACGUUGCCUCUACAACUCCCGGCGGAUCCUAUGAGAUGCUGCUUCAGUUUAUCUUCUCAAACUGAUCAACUGAAGGCAACUCUCUUUCUAUAAAUUUGCCUCCUCAUAUGACCACUAUGAAGCAAGCUCAGCCAAGCAUUGGAUAACAAGCACGUUGUUUCUUCAAGGUCUCAAUCUUCUCUUCACAGCUUGCUAUUCAAUGGGGAGGGCUUCCCUGUUUUUUUUUCUACAGUCAUUGUAUUUAUUUAUUUGUUUUCUUGUAGUAUAUUUCAUGGAAGCAGCUUUAUUGGGUUAAUUUCGUCCAUCUCUGCAGGGAAAUCCGUAAUGGAAAGAUCACAGCGAGCGAGUGGGUCGGAGGCACGGCCAUGGACCGAAGAAGAAGACCAGAAGCUCAUUAAAAGUAUAAACGAAUGUAAGACCGAAAAUCGCUCUCUAUCUUGGCUAGAAAUCGCAUGGGAGACAGCGCUGGCGAGGAGUAGUUCGAGUUGUAGGAAGAGAUGGGAAUAUUUGGAGAAUAAGCAUUGAGUUUGCUGCAUGGUCAUGAACGCAUCUUAUGAUAAACCUAGGCUUCGUAUUAUGUUGAAGGGUUAGACCCAUUAAUUUCUGCAUAAUGUAAUGGUUGGCUUAUUGUACUCACCGAUGAAAUUAUUCAUCUUAUAAUAAACGUGUGUUUUCUAUUAUGUUGAAGGGUUAGACCCAUGAUUUGUGACCAUCCAUUUGAAGGAAAUAUAAUAAAUAAAACCUCAACUGUGAAAGACAUAAAAAGUAAUUUCGCAUACAAUAAUAAAUAAUAAUAAUAAUAAAUUAAGUGUAAAAUCCACCAUUCUUACAUUAUUAUUUUUUAAUUUUAUUUAUAGUUUUAAUUAUAUUAUGAAAGAGUUUAUAGCUCAAAAAAGAAAAAGAAAAAAAGGAAAACGAGAUAAUGAGUAUUGAGCACUAUUCUUAUAACCACCUUCAAGAUAAAAAUCCAAAGCCAUCAGGGCCUUUCAUUAUUAUAAACAACAAAAAAUAAAGUCUCAAUAGCUUAAAUAUAUCAUUUUUAAUAUUGAUUUUUGAAAUAUUUUGAUCAAUCAAUUCAAAUAAAUUUAUAAAAAUUCAUGUAUCAUUUGUUUAACAUGACUUUAAGUCUAUUGGUUCAGAAUGUAAACAAAAAAUAUUUUUAAUCAUUUAUGAUUUUCAAUUGGAAGCCAAGAAAAUAUUAGUGCUGGUAAAAGCUUUAUUUUGAUUUGUGUAUGUAAGUUUUUUUUUAUAUUAAAUAAAACUUUUAUAAUAUCAAUAAUCUCAAUCUCAAGAGCUUUUAGUUUCUUCAUCCCACUUAGUAGGAGUUCUUUCUGUUAGGUCUGGUUUUUUAAAAUAUUGAUUUUUAAUUCAAUCGAUUCAAGCUCGGGACUUUCCACAAUCCAACUUAAGGUAUAGAAUAAAGAAAACAAUGGUUUUUUUAAGUAAAGUGAUCCUAGGGUUUUGGGAUCCUUUGCCUGUCGCGAUCAAUUUGAGUUCUAUAACUCAAAAUUGUAUUUGAAACCUAAUUUUUCAUUUUUAAAACUAAUUCCUAAAACCAUCAAAUAAAUGAGAUUGAUUACUCGUUUAAGAUUUGGCUAUUUAACCAUUUUUAUUCUUUAUAACUUUGUUUUGAGGGAAAUAAUGAUAGGGAAGACCAGAAUAACUAAUGAUAAAGAAUUACCAAGAAUCACUAGUAUCGGAUAAUAACCUAUUGUAUCAUUCCCUAAACUAAUUCACAAGGAUAGAAUAAAAAAAUUUGGUAUUUUUUUUCUCUUUUAUUAAUUUUAUAUAUAUAAAAAAUUGUAAUCUAAGAUUUGUGUUGAAUUUCAAGCAUGAUUCUUGGCUAACUAUAGUAGUUAUUUCAAUUUAGGCAUGGUAGCCAAGUACAUAAUAUAUAGCAAAAGAGUAAGAUAGUGUUUUAUAAAUCCAACUUAUUGACUUAAUGACUUCAUCUAGAGGUUAUUAAGCACAUUAAAUGAAUUUUGUGAAGUAUAUACUAUUAUAACUUAAAAUUAAAAAUGAUUUUGGUGAAUCAAUUUAAUGAUUUAAUAACUUAAACAUAAUUUAGUUUAAAGUUACUUUAAGUCAUUAAGCAACGAACUUAAAUUCUAUUACAUGCCCUCCUAAGUAUCAAGCCAAAUAAUUUAAUAGCGUGCAUAUUUUUCAAGUAAUUUCAUUAAUUUUAUUUCUACAAAGAAUAGUAAUUUGUAUUGACAUAAAUUAAGCAAGGUAUAAAGAGGGAAUCACAAACUUUAUAUGUACUUAUUUUAUGUAAAAACAUUAUGACAUAUUUACUAAACAUUUUAGGAAAGAGAAUAAAACAAAACAUAAUCAAAAUGAUAAGAAAACGAAAUACAGGAAAUCAAAUUUAGAAUCAAGAUUUCUAUUAAAGUACUUACAAAAUUAUUAAAAAAACAAAAUAAGACUGAAAUUGAUUCCUUUGAUAUGUUUACUAAUGGUGAAGAAAUAGAAUGAAAUAUGUGUGUUUAUCAUAAUUGGCUUAAUAGCAAUGUUACUUUUUUUUUUUUUUUUUAAAUAAACUUGAUACAUUUUCAAAAAUCAUACUUUUCAAACUUACACAAUUAAAAUGAAAUUUGGAUUAAAAAAUAUUUAUUUUUAUUGAUUAAAAAAAUUAUUUUGAAGAUGAUAUUUUUUAUCUUGUUUAUAACAUCUGAAUUUAACUGGGGAUUAUUAAUAUUUAUAUAAAUAAGAUAAAACGAAUAAAAAGCAUUGGUAGCUCGUUAGUAUACCUAUCCUGUAUUGGGGCCUCACUAUUUGAUAUUAUUCAAUAUAUAAAUAAAUGUCUUUAAUUUAUAAAGAAAUAUCUAAUUUAAAAUUUUAUAUAAGAUUUCUUGAUUUACAAAAAAUAUUAUGCUAAAGAAAUUAAAGUAUUUAUUUGGUACAUAAUUGAUAGUAUUCAAGAUAUGAAAACCUUUAAUUCAAAAUAUUAAUAAUUGAAUGUAUCAUUAUGUUAAUUAAAAUAAUUAUAAUAACUCUCUGAUGAGGGCCCAAAACUCAUGCCAAUUUGCUAUUAAUAAAAAAGUUGUGAUAUUAAUAGGAAAAAUAAACUUGCUGCCAGUUAAGAGGGAUUUCCAAAAGUGAUAUCUUAGUCAAGGAUUGGAUAUAUAUAUUUGCUUUUAUAAUUAGAAACUUUUAUAUAAAAUAUUUAUAUUUAUUUUAUGUCUUUAAAAAUUUUAAUGAGAUGAUAAUUUUUUAUUUUUUAUUUAUAACUCAAUUUUUUUAAAGAGCUUUGGAAACCAUUAUUUUUUUUAAUAUAAAUCCCUAAAAAAAAUUGCAUCUUAAUAUAAAAGCAUCCAUCAUUUUCUGAUUUUAAAAACAAAAAUAAUAAAUAUAUCCAAAUGAAUACUUGAUUAUUAAAUUUACAUUAAUUAUAUAUAGAAACUUUUACAUUUUGAAAGUAAUUUUAGGAAGCUUAGAAACAUUAUUAAAGUUAUAAAAAAUAAAAAAAAAACAAAGCACUUGAUUAUAAAAUGAUAAAUUUACUUUCUCAAACUAGAAAUUAAAAAUCAAAGAUAUUUCAAAACCAUUUCUAAAUUUCUUUUCCUAAAAUAUAAGACAAAAGUACUUUGUAUGUGAGUACACCUAAAAUCCGAGGCCAAGGGCAUCAUUGUCAUUUCGUACAUUAAGUUAUAAAACUCAACUCAUGAAUGACACCAAAAUGAAACAAAUUAUAGCUAAUCUUUCAAUUGGCUGCUUUGAACACAUUCAAAGCAUACUAAAAACAACUUUCUGAUUAAGAAUAACUCUCCAAAGAUGUUCCCAUUGAACUAAUCAAAGUGAAUUAAAUAUUCAAUAGACUUAUGAUAGGUUGUUCAACCUAUACUUAACCAGCCCACUCAUUACUGAUGUCAAAAUACCUCAAAAAGGUCAAGAGAAGGGGGUGAGCUCAAAAAACCUGGCCAAUGAGGAAGUAUGCAGCAUGUAUAGAUCAAGUACAUAUUUGUGCAAAAGUAAAAUAAGGAUGUAUCAUAUUAGUUGUGAUUACAAAUUUUAUUUAACCAAUGAAAUGUUUAUGCAUCAAGAGAAAAUGACUUCCCCAUGCCAAAUCAUAUAAUACAGGAAUAAAAAAAAGCAUAAGUUUUGAAUAAAUAAUUCUUUAUAGUUAUUUUAGAUACGCAUAUAAAAUUUUUGGCUUUUACAAAAUCAAAUCUAAUCUAAUGGUAUACUAUAGGUCGGUAACUACCCCACAGACUAGGUUAUUUAAUGGUAUGUUCUUGAUGAACAAAAUCAAAUCUAAUCUAAAGGUAUACUAUAGGUCAGUAACUAUCUUACUUACUAGGUUAUUUAUUCUUAUGCUAUAGAUAAGUAACUACCCUACUCACUAAAUUGCAUAUAAAUAAAUUAUCACCAUCAUCACUAAGGGUAGCGAAAGUCAAUAGCUUUAGCAUUUACUAACAGGGUCAGAUAACUAGAGUUUUUACUAUAUAAUCAAUGUAUCUUUGUAACAAUGUUAAAAAUGAUGUUCCUAAUUUUCAUAGUUUCCUAUACACAUGAGUAAAACAUUAAUUUUGUUUUAGAAAAAUAUACUUAUCCAAAUUUUAUAAAAAUAAAAAGGACUUCACUUAUUUCAACCAUAAAAUUGACAUAUCAUAAGUAAUUUAGUACAAAAUAGAUGCACACACUAUAAUUCUCUUACAUAAGAAACAUAAAAAGUUGAGAGGCUCCUAUACGCUUAAGGAUCACACAACAUCAUACAUAAAAAAAAAAUUAUUAGAAGUAAUUCUACAAUCACUUGAUUUUAUCUACUAAGGUGGUGUUUGUUUUUUUGGCUUUUUACUUAAUGCAAUUUCUUUUUAGAAUUUAGGUUGUUUGUUUUUUUAAUUUUUAAUGACUUAUUACUAAAUUUUUAAAAUUUUUGGCUAAAUGAAAAAAGCCAAAAUAUUUGGCUUUUUCUAAAUAGAAAAAGCUAGUUUUUGAAACCUCCCCUCAAAGCCCGACGCCCGACGCCCGACCUUAGCCCACCCAUCCCCUCAAAGCUUUCUGAAACUGGCAUCCUCAACCCUCACCUCAUCCCCAAAGCGGUAAUUUCUUCAUUCUCUUCCUCCAUCGCUCUCCAUCCGAGACUACACAGUUGGAAAGACGCUUCACUUUCAAUCGACAUUGUUGAUCUGAUUGAAGGUAACCCUCAACCCAAAUUUAUUUUGGAUUUUUGGAUUUUAAUAGAGCAAUCGAGUCUCAUUUCCCAGUGCUUCUCUCUCUAAAACUCUCAUUCUCUAUUCUAGUUCACAUAUGCAAGUGCUCUGUUUAGGGUUUUUGAGUUCACGUGUUGCAGGUCCUAAGAUAAUUUUAGGAUUUCUAGGCUCUGUUAGAGGAGUUGUGUGGGUGUUUCUUUUGUUUGAGUUCAUUUUUAAGAAAAGAUUUAUAGGCUAUUGAUUUUGUUUGAGAUUACAAAGAAUGUGGGUAUCGGGUAUUUGGGUUUUUUUGUCUUAACAAGACCAAAUCAGGAGUAUUCAAUGGGUGGUUGGGAGUUUAAUUUCUAUCUUUUGCAACCCUUUUGAAUUAGUUGUUCAAACUCUCUUACACCAUUUCUCUGAUUGGUAUGUGGAUGCUUUGUUUGCUGAAUUUUACUUGGGUUCUGUUUAUGCAUGCUGUCCUUGUGAUCAACUUCUGAAUUUUUGGCUUUGGUCCAUGGGUAUCCAUCCUUUUAAACUCUCUAAUGAUCUGGCUGCAGUGAGACUGUAGACUCUUAUAGCAUGUGCCUAUAUUUUCAUAUAUAAUCUAUGGAAUGUUUCUUGGAUUCUGUUAGAUGGGUUUAACGAACAGGGUUAUAAGCUGCCCUGUUUAUGGGUAUGGUUUCUAUUCCAUCUGUUUGCUGAGUGAGAAUCAUAGAGGGUUACUAAUUUUGUGCUUAUAUGAUAUAUUUCUUUGUGUUUGAAGAUUCAAAAUAUUUAGAGGUAUUAUUUACCAAAUCUUAUUAUGCAAUACAAUAUUUCUUCUAAUGAUUAUAAUCAUGCUAGUUAUUCUAGGGCCUAGUCACAAAUUUACAAGUGAACGAUAAAAAAUUGAUUUUUUCUGCCAUUAGUUUUGUUUGUAGCCUUCAGGUAGAAAGCCUUCCAAGUAGAAAGAGCAAACAUCAGAUGUGUGUUUGUUUAAUAUAGUGUUAAAUAGAAAAUUGGGUACGAGCCCUCUAACACAAGAUUACAAAACUUUUUAAGCGGCACUAGCAUCCCACUGUGAACCUGAUUUGUCGAUCUGGUUCUGGAUGUAUACAUCCCUUGUAAUCCUUCUUACUCUAGUUUACCGCACCUGAAUCAACUCAGCUCCAUUGCUGUAUGAACUCGUUUAAAUAGAAACAAACUUCUACACCAACCUGGACUGGUGCAACAUUACUUUAGCUCAUGUCACUCGCUUAAAGAGACCCUCUGAGCAGUACUAGGUUAGUCUUCAACUUGAUUGAAGCUGUGGGAAUUGUAAUCCUGCAGACAUUACUCUCUCUAAUGUUCCCCAAACUUUUUUUCAGAACCCAAUUGCUAUAGUGAUUCUACCUACGUCAUUUUUCUUGACCAUUUUCUGCCCCUGGUUACUGGAAGGGGAAGAAAUCCAGGAGCUUCUAGUAAAAGAAGGGUGUAAAGCAUGUCACCUGCCUUGUUUAUUGCUUAGGUGCAAGGAUCAUAGGGUUGAGAUAAUUUUAUUUGUCUGCGUUUUUUUUCAGAUAAAAUGUCUUCUGAGGGAGGAAAAACUUCAGAAUAGAAGGGCUUAAGAUCAUUCCACAGACAUGGUAGGGGCAAAACGAUGAUGAGUCCCAUGAAUAGAGGUGAAACAUAUUACAAAUCAAAAGAAGAAAAACCAAAGUUAAUCCAGGGGGAGCACUAAUUUUCCUUCAGCACCCAGGGUGUUCUACAUAGGAAAACUAUGAUAAGAAUAGGCAAACAAUAUUUC